rnacentral:rRNA from 1 species
CGCGUAGGUAGUUUGUUAAGUUGGAUGUGAAAGCCCCGGGCUCAACCUGGGAACUGCAUCCAAAACUGGCAAGCUAGAGUACGGUAGAGGGUGGUGGAAUUUCCUGUGUAGCGGUGAAAUGCGUAGAUAUAGGAAGGAACACCAGUGGCGAAGGCGACCACCUGGACUGAUACUGACACUGAGGUGCGAAAGCGUGGGGAGCAAACA